AGAUGUUUAGUCCAAACUAAGACCGCUAAUUUCGGCUUAGCAAAUUAUGGUGAAAACCCAUAAACAUCUU
rnacentral:tRNA from 1 species